UUCAAUUUUAAGAAGGUGUCUAGGGAUGU
rnacentral:piRNA from 1 species